UUUCUUCUCACUCUCUCCUCACUCCUUUUUACCUUCCUUCUUUACUUUUCUUUCUGUUUAUGGUAACCAGUGACUACUGUAAAAACACAUAUAAAAGACAUUUUGAACUAUUAGACUUGCACUGUAAGAAGAGAAGUUUGCAUUAUCAUUUUGAGAGAGAUGCCUGUCCCAAUUCCUGGAAAAGUAUCAUGCCUAUAAAGUAAUGUUAUAUCAAACUUUUCUACCUAGGUAACCUUCAAUUUAUUCUCUGUUGUUAUAUCUUAUUUUUCUUUCUCACAUUUGCACUUAUGAUUUUUUAGGGUCCAAAACUCCUUCCUAAAUAUCAAGUGAAGUCAUUUCUUACCCCAUGCUGUUCCCUGGAGACCCCUGUGGAUUCUCAGCUUUAUAGAUAUGUGAAGAUUGGGCUGACUAACCUUUUAGGAGCAAGAUUAUAUUUUGCUCCAAAAGUGUUGACACCCUAUUGUUAUACAAUAGAUGUUGAAAUUAAAUUAGAUGAAGAAGGAUUUGUAUUGCCAUCC
rnacentral:lncRNA from 1 species